rnacentral:rRNA from 1 species
CGGACGGGUGAGUAACACGUGGAUAACCUACCUAUAAGACUAGGAUAACUUCGGGAAACCGGAGCUAAUACCGGAUAAUAUAUUGAACCGCAUGGUUCAAUAGUGAAAGACGGUUUUGCUGUCACUUAUAGAUGGAUCCGCGCCGCAUUAGCUAGUUGGUAAGGUAACGGCUUACCAAGGCAACGAUGCGUAGCCGACCUGAGAGGGUGAUCGGCCACACUGGAACUGAGACACGGUCCAGACUCCUACGGGAGGCAGCAGCC